GACGAACGCUGGCGGCGUGCUUAACACAUGCAAGUCGAACGGAAAGGCCCUGCUUUUGUGGGGUGCUCGAGUGGCGAACGGGUGAGUAACACGUGAGUAACCUGCCCUUGACUUUGGGAUAACUUCAGGAAACUGGGGCUAAUACCGGAUAGGAGCUCCUGCUGCAUGGUGGGGGGUGGAAAGUUUCGGCGGUUGGGGAUGGACUCGCGGCUUAUCAGCUUGUUGGUGGGGUAGUGGCUUACCAAGGCUUUGACGGGUAGCCGGCCUGAGAGGGUGACCGGCCACAUUGGGACUGAGAUACGGCCCAGACUCCUACGGGAGGCAGCAGUGGGGAAUAUUGCACAAUGGGCGGAAGCCUGAUGCAACAACGCCGCGUGCGGGAUGACGGCCUUCGGGUUGUAAACCGCUUUCGCCUGUGACGAAGCGUGAGUGACGGUAAUGGGUAAAGAAGCACCGGCUAACUACGUG
rnacentral:rRNA from 1 species